AUUGAACGCUGGCGGCAUGCUUUACACAUGCAAGUCGAACGGCAGCGCGGGCUUCGGCCUGGCUGCGAGUGGCGAACGGGUGAGUAAUUCAUCGGAACGUGCCCAGUAGUUGUGGCUAGCCCGGCGACAUCCGGAUUAAUACCGCAUACGACCUGACGGUGAACGCGGGGGACCGAAAGGCCUUGCGCUAUUGGAGCGGCCGAUGUCGGAUUAGCUAGUUGGUGGGGCAAAGGCUUACCAAGGCGACGAUCCGUAGCUGGUCUGAGAGGACGAACAGCCACACUGGGACUGAGACACGGCCCAGACUCCUACGGGAGGCAGCAGUGGGGAAUAUUGGACAAUGGGGGCAACCCUGAUCCAGCCAUGCCGCGUGCGGGAAGAAGGCCUUCGGGUUGUAAACCGCUUUUGUUCGGGAAGAAAUCCUGUGGGCUAAUACCCCGGGGGGAUGACGGUACCGGAAGAAUAAGCACCGGCUAACUACGUG
rnacentral:rRNA from 1 species